rnacentral:rRNA from 1 species
GGAGGAAAGUAGGGGAUCGCAAGACCUUGCGCUAAAGGAGCGGCUGAUGUCCGAUUAGCUAGUUGGUGAGGUAAAGGCUUACCAAGGCUUCGAUCAGUAGCUGGUCUGAGAGGACGACCAGCCACACUGGGACUGAGACACGGCCCAGACUCCUACGGGAGGCAGCAGUGGGGAAUUUUGGACAAUGGGGGAAACCCUGAUCCAGCCAUGCCGCGUGAGUGAAGAAGGCCUUCGGGUUGUAAAGCUCUUUUAGUCGGAAAGAAAAAAUCAUGGUUAAUAGUCAUGAUUUAUGACGGUACCGACAGAAAAAGCACCGGCUAACUACGUGCCAGCAGCCGCGGUAAUACGUAGGGUGCGAGCGUUAAUCGGAAUUACUGGGCGUAAAGGGUGCGCAGGCGGCCUUGUAAGUCAGAUGUGAAAUCCCCGGGCUUAACCUGGGAAUUGCGUUUGAAACUACAAAGCUAG